ACGGAAGGCAGCAGUAGGGAAUAUUGCACAAUGGGGGAAACCCUGAUGCAGCGACGCCGCGUGAGUGAUGAAGUAUUUCGGUAUGUAAAGCUCUAUCAGCAGGGAAGAUAAUGACGGUACCUGACUAAGAAGCCCCGGCUAACUACGUGCCAGCAGCCGCGGUAAUACGUAGGGGGCAAGCGUUAUCCGGAUUUACUGGGUGUAAAGGGAGUGUAGGUGGUUUGGCAAGCCAGAUGUGAAAGCCCGGGGCUCAACCCCGCGGACUGCAUUUGGAACUGUUAAACUUGAGUGCAGGAGAGGAAAGUGGAAUUCCUAGUGUAGCGGUGAAAUGCGUAGAUAUUAGGAGGAACACCAGUGGCGAAGGCGGCUUGCUGGACGACAACUGACGCUGAGGCGCGAAAGCGUGGGGAGCAAACAGGAUUAGAUACCCUGGUA
rnacentral:rRNA from 1 species